rnacentral:rRNA from 1 species
CUACGGAGGGUGCAAGCGUUAAUCGGAAUUACUGGGCGUAAAGCGCGCGUAGGCGGUUUGGUAAGUCGGAUGUGAAAGCCCCGGGCUCAACCUGGGAACUGCAUUCGAUACUGUCAGGCUAGAGUAUGGUAGAGGGAAGCGGAAUUCCAGGUGUAGAGGUGAAAUGCGUAGAUAUCUGGAGGAACAUCAGUGGCGAAGGCGGCUUCCUGGAUCAAUACUGACGCUGAGGUGCGAAAGCGUGGGGAGCAAACAGGAUUAGAAACCCUAGUAGUCC